rnacentral:rRNA from 1 species
GACGAACGCUGGCGGCGUGCUUAACACAUGCAAGUCGAGCGGAAAGGCUCCUUCGGGGGUACUCGAGCGGCGAACGGGUGAGUAACACGUGAGUAAUCUGCCCUUCACUUCGGGAUAGCUCCGGGAAACCGGGAUUAAUACCGGAUAUGACCAUGGGUUGCAUGACCUUGUGGUGGAAAGAUUUGGUUCGGUGGGGGAUGUGCUCGCGGCCUAUCAGCUUGUUGGUGGGGUAAUGGCCUACCAAGGCUUCGACGGGUAGCCGGCCUGAGAGGGUGACCGGUCACACUGGGACUGAGACACGGCCCAGACUCCUACGGGAGGCAGCAGUGGGGAAUAUUGGACAAUGGGCGGAAGCCUGAUCCAGCAACGCCGCGUGAGGGAUGACGGCCUUCGGGUUGUAAACCUCUUUCAGCACCGACGAAGCUCUUUGGGGUGACGGUAGGUGCAGAAGAAGGACCGGCCAACUACGUGCCAGCCGCCGCCGUAACAC